ensembl:snRNA U6 U6 spliceosomal RNA
GUGCUCUCUUUGGUAGCACAUAUACUAAAAUUGGAGCGAUACAGAGAAGAUUAGCACGACCCUGCGCAAGGAUAACAUGCAAAUUCGUGAAGUGCUCCAUAUUUUU